CCUACGGGUGGCAGCAGUGGGGAAUAUUGCACAAUGGGCGAAACCCUGAUGCAGCGACGCCGCGUGAGUGAUGAAGUAUUUCGGUAUGUAAAGCUCUAUCAGCAGGGAAGCAGAAAGACGGUACCUGACCAAGAAGCCCCGGCUAAAUACGUGCCAGCAGCCGCGGUAAUACGUAGGGGGCAAGCGUUAUCCGGAUUUAAUGGGUGUAAAGGGAGCGUAGACGGCUGUGCAAUGCUGAAGGGAAAGUCUAGGGCUCAACCCUGGGACUGCCUUGGAAACUGUGGAGCUAGAGUGCUGGAGAGGUAAGUGGAAUUUCUAGUGUAGCGGUGAAAUGCGUAGAUAUUAGGAGGAACACCAGUGGCGAAGGCGGCUUACUGGACAGUAACUGACGUUGAGGCUCGAAAGCGUGGGGAGCAAACAGGAUUAGAUACCCUAGUAGUC
rnacentral:rRNA from 1 species